UAUUACGGCAUACGUUUCAUUUCUAAACAAAUCAAAAUGAAAAAAAAAAAAAUUGUUGAUUAACUUUUAUAUUAGUAAUAACAAUUUAAAAAAAAUUUACUCCAGACAAUAAGCGAUGGCUGAAAAAACGUAAAUAGUAUUACGGCUAUUUUUUGUCAGUCCGGAUUUUAUUGUCCGCUACUGUAUAAACAAAUAAAAGAUUGGCCUCUUUUGCACGAAGAAAAAAACCUCCAUGUGGUAUUCUCUGGGUGCCAGUACUAACUGGUAGCUAAUUUGAGCAGCGAAAGGAUCCUUGAAAAAAAUUGGUGCAAAUGAAAAUAACGAGCCUCGGAUAAUAAUUGAAAUUGGAAGAGAGUGGGUGCCCUGUACGAUAAGUGGAAUGGCGUUCAGCUCCAAAAAGGGUUUGGGCCACCUUGCUUCUGGUCACAUGUCACAUCGGCACAAAGACGAACUAGAUGAACAAAGUCUACGUGUCGAUAAAACUGCAAGGUGGUCUGAAGAAGAAUCUUUGAUGAUGGCGUGAAAGGAGGUUGAGCUUGCAGCAAGUGGUUUUCGAUUUCUAAAUAAAAAGCUUGUGGUGA